GUGUCAGCCGCCGCGGUAAUACGGAGGAUUCGAGCGUUAUCCGGAUUUAUUGGGUUUAAAGGGUGCGUAGGCGGACCAAUAAGUCAGUGGUGAAAUACAUCAGCUUAACUGAUGCACUGCCAUUGAUACUGUUGGACUAGAAUAUAAAUGGUGCAGGCGGAAUGAAUCAUGUAGAGGUGACAUUCAUAGAUAUGAUUCAGAACACCGAUCGCGAAGGCAGCUUGCAAAGAUAUUAUUGACGCUGAUGCACGAAAGCGUGGGUAGCGAACAGGAUUAGAUACCCUGGUAGUCCACGCUGUAAACGAUGAUAACUCGUUGUCGGCGAUAGACAGUCGGUGACUAAGCGAAAGCGAUAAGUUAUCCACCUGGGGAGUACGAUCGCAAGGUUGAAACUCAAAGGAAUUGACGG
rnacentral:rRNA from 1 species